rnacentral:rRNA from 1 species
CAGCAGCCGCGGUAAUACGAGGGGUGCAAGCGUUAUUCGGAUUGAUUGGGUGUAAAGGGUGUGCAGACGGCUUAUUGAGUCACUUGUUAAAUUCUUCGGCCUAACUGAAGGUCUGCAAGUGAUACUGAUGAGCUAGAGGGUGGAAGAGAGAAGUGGAAUUCUCGGAGUAGCGGUAAAAUGCGUAGAUCUCGAGAGGAACACCAAUGGCGAAGGCAGCUUCUUGGUCCAUUCCUGACGUUCAUACACGAAAGCGUGGGGAGCAAACAGGAUUAGAUACCCGGGUAGUCCCUGUCUCUUAUAC